rnacentral:miRNA from 1 species
UCCCUGAGACCACAAUUUGUGCU